AUGGCAGCUUGCUCAGCCCUCUCUGCGGCGACCCUUCUCUCGGCCGCGGCGCCGGUCAGCAGACGGCGAGCGGCAGCGUCGCCGCGGCUUCCCGGCAAGCGCGUCUCCGGCGCUGUGCGGUGUAGCGCUGCUCCAGGCGGACUCGGGAUCUCGGGGAAGAUGGCCGAGCUGUGGCAGGCAGCGAGGAGUGCGCCUCCGGGGACCGUGCUCGCCGCCGUGGCUGCCGUGGCGGUGGUCUACAAGGUGGCGUCCGGCCUCCUCGCCCCGCCGCCUCCGCCGCCGCGACGAUGGCAGGAGGUCGCUGAUGAGGCGCUGCCACCAGCUCCGGAGCCAGUGCAGGUGGGGGAGAUCACGGCGGAUGAGCUGCGGCAGUACGACGGGUCUGACCCCGAGAAGCCGCUUCUCAUGGCCAUCAAGGGGCAGAUCUACGAUGUCUCCCAGAGCAGAAUGUUCUAUGGGCCUGGUGGACCAUAUGCAUUGUUUGCUGGUAAAGAUGCCAGUAGGGCAUUGGCGAAGAUGUCCUUUGAGCCACAAGAUCUGACAGGUGAUGUAUCUGGCCUCGGUCCAUUUGAGCUUAGUGCCUUGCAGGACUGGGAGUACAAGUUCACCAGCAAGUAUGUGAAAGUAGGAAGCAUCAAAGGAACAGGACCCAUAGAAGAGGGUAAUGUUAGCACUACCUCUGAAAUACAGGCGGAAGCUGCUGCGGUGAAACUGAAUGGAGAGAAAGCACCAUGA
rnacentral:rRNA from 1 species